rnacentral:rRNA from 1 species
UACGUAGGGUGCAAGCGUUAAUCGGAAUUACUGGGCGUAAAGCGUGCGCAGGCGGCUAUGCAAGACAGAUGUGAAAUCCCCGGGCUCAACCUGGGAACUGCAUUUGUGACUGCAUGGCUAGAGUGCGGCAGAGGGGGAUGGAAUUCCGCGUGUAGCAGUGAAAUGCGUAGAUAUGCGGAGGAACACCGAUGGCGAAGGCAAUCCCCUGGGCCUGCACUGACGCUCAUGCACGAAAGCGUGGGGAGCAAACAAG